rfam:Pongo abelii chromosome 7.
AGCUUUGUGCAGUAGCAGUAAGGUAGCCCAUGAGGUUUAUUUGAGGCGCGAUUAUUGCUAAUUGAAAGAGAUUCGUAGUGCACAGAGAGUGGGAUUUGUAGUUAACUACAUCUAGAUUUUUCAAUUCCCACCCCACUGUUUACCAGUUGGAUAAACUUGGG